GAUUCUAAGCCUAAUACCCUUGCCCCUGGAAUUUGAAGACAAGGAAGUGAGUCUAUUCUGUUUCCCAGAAAACUGAGCCCGCUCAUAAUUUCAUUCCAAAGAGAAUAAUCUACAUAGAGAACUUAUUUUCAGGAUAGAAACAGAUUUUCUGACACCUGCACCUUUUCCAAAGGGCCUGUAAGACUUCAUAUCUGAGCAUGAAGUAGUGGCAUGUCAGCAGAGACCUCAGAGCUGCCACGUGGGCAGAUUCUUCCUCACAACGGGAAUCAGACCAAGUUCCCUGUUUGAGUUAAAGUGAGUAGCGGGCCAUGGAAGAAGGUAUCUGUGUUUUUCAAAACUGCAUUUCACAUUGUACAUAAGAAGCCAUUAAAAAAAAAAAAAAACAAAAAAAACAAAACCAGAGCACACCAUGUCUUCAAUUGGUCACAGAUGGGAGAAAAUCAGCCGCAAUAAUAAAUUCACGGAGGUGGAGUGUGUCGUCACACACGGAGCCAGGAUGUGUGAUC
rnacentral:lncRNA from 10 species